GGCGGCGUGCUUAACACAUGCAAGUCAAGGGGGCCCAGCAAUGGGCAACCGGCGAACGGGUGCGUAACACGUGAGCAACCUACCGAACUGUGGGGGAUAGCCGGCCUAACGGCCGAGUAAUACCGCAUACGCUUUCAGUGAGGCAUUUCACUGAAAGGAAACCUACGGGACAGAUCGAGGGGCUCGCGGCCUAUCAACUAGUUGGCGAGGUAACGGCUCACCAAGGCAACGACGGGUAGCUGGUCUGAGAGGAUGGCCAGCCACAUUGGGACUGAGAUACGGCCCAGACUCCUACGGGAGGCAGCAGUGGGGAAUCUUGCGCAAUGGCCUAACGGCUGACGCACCGACNCCNCGUGUAUGAUGAAGCUCCUCGGAGUGUAAACCACUGUUGCCCGGGACGAAUAACUCGAUUAAUCGAGCCUGACGGUUCCGGGUGAGGAAGCACCGGCUAACUCCGUGCCAGCAGCCGCGGUAAUACGGGGGGUGCGAGCGUUGUCCGGAAUCACUGGGCGUAAAGGGCGCGUA
rnacentral:rRNA from 1 species